GGGCGGUUAGCUCAGUGGUAGAGCACUGCCUUCACACGGCAGGGGUCACAGGUUCGAACCCUGUACCGCCCACCA
rnacentral:tRNA from 10 species